rnacentral:misc_RNA from 1 species
CAAAAGAAGUUGUGGCUAACAAGCGAAAGUCUCAGAGAUACAGAAUAGGACAACUUAACAGAGUCUCUUCCAUCUCUAUAUUUCCAAAUUCCAAGUGCGCCAACAGAUUAAGAAGGUUGUUUCGAGCAAGUGAUGCAGAAAACAUUUUUCAUGUUGUAGCAUUAAGUGUUCACAUUAAUUUUCCCCCCUUCCAUAUAAUGAUUCAAUUUGAUAGAGAUAAACUAUCAGGAAAAAAAAUGUGAACACUUAAUGCUACAACAUGA